rnacentral:rRNA from 1 species
CUACGGGGGGCUCCAGUGGGGAAUAUUGGACAAUGGGGGAAACCCUGAUCCAGCAAUGCCGCGUGUGUGAAGAAGGCCUGCGGGUUGUAAAGCACUUUCGGUUGGGAGGACUGCUUCUAGCACUAAUAUUGUUGGAAGUUGACGUUACCUUCAGAAGAAGCACCGGCUAACUCCGAUGCCAGCAGCCGCGGUAAUACGGAGGGUGCAAGCGUUAAUCGGAAUUACUGGGCGUAAAGCGCGCGUAGGCGGCUAGAUCAGUCGGGUGUGAAAGCCCCGGGCUUAACCUGGGAACUGCAUCCGAUACUGUCUAGCUUGAGUACAGGAGAGGAGAGUGGAAUUCCACAUGUAGCGGUGAAAUGCGUAGAUAUGUGGAGGAACACCAAUGGCGAAGGCAGCUCUCUGGCCUGAUACUGACGCUGAGGUGCGAAAGCGUGAGGAGCAAACAGGAUUAGAUACCCCAGUAGUC